GUAGGACCACGAUGUCGCAUGACAUCUUGCGAGCAGAACAUUCUGGAAAGUAUGACCACAGACGGUGACAGUCCGGUAUGCGAAGCAAGACGAAGCGUAGUGGUAUCCUGAGUAGCGCGGGACACGAGGAAUCCUGUGUGAAUCUGCCGGGACCAUCCGGUAAGGCUAAAUACUCCUGAGAGACCGAUAGUGAACCAGUACCGUGAGGGAAAGGUGAAAAGAACCCCGGG
rnacentral:rRNA from 1 species